rnacentral:rRNA from 1 species
GGUUCGAUCGUUAUAAAAUGACUGGAGGAAUGUAGCUUCGACCUCGUGUUGAAGUGUUAUACCUUUGGUAGACGUAACGGAUGGGAUCGAGGAUUGCAAUGAAUACCCUCAUGGGCUAUCGCCUGGCCUCUGACAUGUCACUCUGGUGCUGAAAGCUUGCUUAUGGUAUUAUAGUGUACGUCAAAAGGUUAGAACGGAUUAAAUUCGUUAAGGAUGUUGACGUAAUGGCUUUAAACGA